GCUGCCGCUGGCUUAUGAGCCACCGCUGCUCCGUCCCUCAUGGAUGCUAAAUUUCCGCACAGUUUCGAAUAGUUUAAUUUGGAAAUUGAGGUUUGAGGAGUUCUUCAUUUUGGGGUUUGAAGAGUAUAGCACGAAGCUGGGGUUAGAACAUCUGCGUUUUGGUUGAUCCACAGUUGAAGAAGAUGGGUUUUGAAGGCUAUGAAGAAAUCGAGUUGGUGUCAAAGGCUAUCGAAGAACAGAAUUGAUUGUGGAAAAGAAGAAUGGACUCGAGCAUGUGCACAUGAAAUUGGAAGAAGUAUCGAAAGUCGGAAACGAGGCUAAGAUUGGGCGAGCACUCCAAUUCCAGUGUGCAGGUUUCGAGCAUGUGGUCGGGAAGCGUACAGGGGAGGCACAUGGCCCGGCUUAGCG